rnacentral:ncRNA from 1 species
GUUCACGUUUAUUUUUUGUCCAUUCAUUAUAUUUUCGUUGCCUAAAAUCAGUAUCUACUUACCAUGAUGGAAAACUGCCGAAAUAAUUCUAAGUACAAAGUUGCUGAAAUAUUGGCUGGGUGUUGGAGCAGGCUGAAGUCAAGUCGAGUCUUGGCUGCCGCGCGGGCUGUUUUCUGUGACAUAAAACAUGCCCGUGACACCUACCAUGGUGGUGACGGGUGACGGAGAAUUAGGGUUCUAUUCCGGAGAGGUAGCUUGAGAAACGGCUACCACAUCCAAGGAAGGCAGCAGGCGUGCAAAUUACCCAAUCCUGACACGGGGAGGUAGUGACAAUAAAUAACAAUACCGGGCUCUAUGAUUCUGGUAAUUGGAAUGAGUACAAUCUGAAUCCAUUGGAGGGCAAGUCUGGUGCCAGCAGCCGCGAUAAUUCUAGCUCCAAUAGCGUAUAU